rnacentral:tRNA from 1 species
UCCCUAGUAGCUCAAUUGGUAAAGAAUCUGCCUGCAAUGCAGGAGACCCAGGUUCAAUCCCUGGGUUGGGAA